rnacentral:lncRNA from 1 species
UAGAGACCCAACUAGUGAUCAGUCAUGCAUGGCAAGAUAUUCAGUGAGCUCCCCACCCCACCCUGAGUCCCUCCUUCCUCCAAGAAGAACAGUGCUCCAUGUGGAUAUCCCACCAGCCUUGGCCCAGGUUCCUCCCUUGGAUUGUUUUGGAGAACCCUGCUCUAGAAGCAACAGCCAAGUUUCAGAAAGUUUGCCGAAACUGCCAGUUUGCAAAGCCUUUGUUCUUUGGAGCACAGCACGCAGAUUCCAGAACCUUUAAGAAGCCCAGGAAGGCCUGUGUGCCCUGCUAUUUUUUGAUGCUCACAAUAUAUUGAAAAACAAAGAAAUGAAUAAAAGUACCUCAGCCAAAAAUCCAGCCUGUGCUCCUGUAGUAAUGGGAGGACAGACACCUUUCCUUCUUGGUAAAGCAAGGGAACUCCAGAAAGGGGAAGCAGAGGAAGUGGCCUGCACAGCAGAACCUCCCCUUGCCUGUGGUAACCCUCACUCUGCAGGACUGCUUAUCCUUCACCACCAUUUGGAAGGCAAAG